ACAACGAACAAAUAUGUAUAGCGAAGGAGCUGAUCACGAGCUUCUUUCGUUCUGACAGCCCUACCGAAAAAGUCGAGAUAUAGUCGCAAAUCGCAAUUAGAGCUAACUGAGGAAGGCAACGGCGGGAUAUCGGCGUACAGAGGUCCGAAACGCCCAUCUUUCCUCUCCUUCCCCACUGCUCCUACCCGAAACCAUGUAGGCAGGUGAAGAAGGAUGGUAACUUCACAUCUUUUUCGCGCUGAUCGCCCGUCCCGGAUUUACUAAAUCUAUGAUUUACUGCCGAAAUCAGUAAACUCCGGAUUUAUGAAAUUAGCGGGUUUAGUUUGUCCAUAUUGACCGUCUGGCAGGAUUUAGGUCAAAUCCAGGUUAAAUCCCGCUCUAAAUCCCUUACCAGACAGCCCCGAAGUGUUUUGUUUUUCUCCUCAACCAUAACCCUAGAGCAGUCUUUACUUUGCCUGUCGGCAUCCAUGGCGCUGAAUCUACGGCAGAAACAAACAAGCUGCAUCAUCAGAAUGCUGAAUCUGAAUCAGCAGCCAAAUUCGGCCUUCGCCGGCUCCGCCACCGAGGAGGUCUACAAGAUCCUCAUUCUCGAUCGAUUCUGUCGCGAUAUACUCUCUCCAUUGAUCCGUGUCAAGGACCUCCGUAAGCACGGGAUCACUCUCUAUUUUGUCAUAGAUAAACAACGACAGACCGUCCCCGACGUCCCAGCGAUCUACUUUGUCCAACCCACACCGGCCAACAUCAGCCGGAUCGUGGAAGACGCCUCUCGCUGCCUUUACGAGAGUUUCCACCUCAACUUCUCCUCUUCCCUUCCUCGACCCCUUCUUGAGGAGCUCGCUGCCGGGUCUCUCAAGGCUGAUUCCGUCAGUCGGAUCUCCAAAGUCUAUGAUCAGUAUCUGGAAUUUGUGACUCUAGAGGAAAACCUCUUCUCUUUAGCGCAGCCCGAUAUCUACGUCCAGCUCAAUGAUCCUGCCGCUGGAGACCAGGAAAUCGAAGGCAUCGUGGAGAAGAUAGCCGGUGGGUUAUUCUGUGUUCUUGUUACGCUUGGUGUCGUGCCUGUCAUCCGGUGCGCAAGUGGUGGCCCUGCCCAGAUGGUUGCCGCUGCCCUUGACACGCGUUUGCGUGACCACUUAGUUACAAAGAACAAUCUUUUCUCUGAAAGUGGAAACCUUAUUAGUUCAUUCCAGAGACCUGUGCUCUGUUUAUUUGAUCGAAAUUUUGAGUUGGCAGUUGCGUUGCAACAUGACUGGAGCUACCGGUCACUGGUGCAUGAUGUCUUUGAUAUGAAGCUCAAUAGGAUCAGUGUACAGGGGGAGAAAUCUCAAGUAAAAUCCUAUGAAUUGGAUGAUUCAGAUCCGUUCUGGGUUUCUAACAGUUGGUCUCCUUUUGAGAAGAUUGCACUAGAAAUUGAUAGUCAGCUGAACAAAUAUAAGCAGGAUGUGGAGGAGGUGAACCGGCGUACAGGUGGGCAAAAAGGGGCUGAAUUUGAUGGCACCGAUUUGAUUGGAAACACAAAGCACCUGAUGAAUGCUGUUAAUUCACUUCCGGAGCUUACUGAGAGGAAGAAGGUGAUUGACAAGCACACAAAUUUAGCCACAGUGCUGUUGGGUGAGAUCAAGAAUAGGGCUUUGGAUUCUUUUUGUAGUUUAGAAAGUGAGAUGUCAGGUAAGGGUACUGUGGAUAAAAAUCAACUUCUUAGUCAACUUAAAGAUAAAGGUACAAAAGAGGAUAAGCUUCGGCUUGCCAUAAUUUACCUGCUCUCCAUGGAGACAACCCCACAAUCAGAACUUGAAUCAAUAGAAGCGGCUUUGAGGGAGUCUGAAUUGGAUACUUGUGCAUUUCAGUAUGUGAAGAAGAUCAAAUCUUUGAACAUGUCAAUGAAUUCCUCUGUGGUCUCUGCCAGCAAGAGCAACAUUGUGGAUUGGGCUGAGAAGCUGUAUGGACAGUCCUUGAGUGCUGUGACUGCUGGUAUGAAGAAUCUGCUGUCAGGAGCGCGGCAACUAGCUCUUACAAGAAUAGUUGAAGCACUAAUGGAAGGGAAACCAAAUCCUGAAGUGGAUUCCUACCUAUUAUAUGAUCCUCGUGCACCAAGAUCCGGAACUGGAGCACAGUUGAAGGGUCCAUUUAAAGAAGGGAUUGUUUUCAUGAUAGGUGGAGGUAAUUUUGUAGAGUACAGGUGCUUGUUGGAGCUAGCACAGCGCUCACAGCCCACAAAGCAUAUCAUUUAUGGUACAACUGAAAUACUCAACGGUGUGGAUUUUGUUCAACAACUUCAAGUUUUGGGUCAAAAGAUGGGUUUAGGAAAUACUGGUAUAAACCCAUCCCAUUGAGAUAUGAGAAUUCACAUUUUGUUCGCCUUUUGGUUUUAUUGAUUGUGGUUGGAAGUUCAUAUAUUAUUGGAAAAUAUAAGUUAAUUUCUGGGCUAAGCAUAGUUGAAGUUCUGAAGGUGGCAUCAGGACUUUUUGGUCGAUGUUGAUUUCAGUUAGCAGCUUAUGCCUUGCCUUGCACCUACUUUUGAUCAUUUUAAGUGAAAUAUGGAAGCAUAGAGAUGUUCCAUAAAAGCCAUCUGACCAAGAGAUUGGUGGGCUCACAUGUAAGGCCUGGAGCAAUACGAAUU